rnacentral:lncRNA from 1 species
CCUGGAGUGUUUAAUACCUUCUUAAAAACUCAAACCUCAAUUUUGACACACAUUAAAUUACUAAAAAAAAAAAUAUCCAAUCCUAGUAAAUUAGUAAUAUCACAAUUUUUGUUGAGAGAGAUACAAAAUGUACAAGUAAGCAAUACCUUAACAAUUCAUAAAGAGAUAGGAAAUGUAUUCAAUAAAUCAACUAGAGAACCGAACUCAUGAAAAAAAGAAAGACUGUCCUCUCUGAAACAUGGUAUGUACGGGUGGUGUGGAACUUACAAAUAAACGGUUACUAAAGGUCUGAAAAACUGUAAAAAUUCCCUUGGGGUAAUAGCAGGAUAAACAUCUGCAGUUGGGCCAAGCAUCUGAAGCAAUCCCUCUAAAAACCAGAAAUGGCUUCAUCCAUAAUGAUUUUUUUUUUUUUUUUUACUCUUUUCAGAUACUUAAAUGGCGAGGGUUAAA